UCGAGUCGUCAUGAUAGAGAAAGAGUUGGACAAAGCCCAUAGAAUAUCCAUCAGUAAACAUUUUCCUAUGCCAUAUUAGUGGGUCGCCAUGGCUUCGCAGCGUCCGGGGACAAUAGCGCAAGUUUGCACACUCGAAUACUGUCACCCUGCCAACGCACGCAACAGCUAAAAAAGGACAAUCUAUUGGAAACGAUGAACUCCGUGGGGAAGCCACUUUGGAACAGUACAAGGCAGCCAUGGAAUAAUGAGUGAUUACAUCUCCAUGCCCUGAAGUCUGAUUUAAAGAAAUGAGAGAAACAACGGUACCUGUCACAAAGUGAGCUGGCAAUAUUCAAACCCAAGUGCGGAGGAGAGACAGACUCCAUUGUAGAGACAACCAUGAGAGUUUAUUCCUGAUAAUCCCAAAAGAACAUUGGUGCCUCAGCUGAGCGCACUGUGAGAAAUAACAUUCUCACAACUAUGAUCCUGCAAUUAGCACUAAUUGGUACUCCACUUAAAUAAUAAAAAUAGCAUGAAAUCCCCAAGCUUAUCGAAAUAAA